ACUCCUACGGGAGGCAGCAGUGGGGAAUAUUGCACAAUGGGGAAACCCUGAUGCAGCCAUGCCGCGUGUGUGAAGAAGGCCUUCGGUUGUAAAGCACUUCAGUAGGGAGGAAGGUAGUGUAGUUAACACCUGCAUAUUUGACGUUACCUACAGAAGAAGCACCGGCUAACUCCGUGCCAGCAGCCGCGGUAAUACGGAGGGGUGCGAGCGUUAAUCGGAAUUACUGGGCGUAAAGCGCAUGCAGGCGGCCUGUUAAGUCAGAUGUGAAAGCCCGGGGGCUUAACCUCGGAAUUGCAUUUGAAACUGGCAGGCUAGAGUCUUGUAGAGGGGGUAGAAUUUCAGGUGUAGCGGUGAAAUGCGUAGAGAUCUGAAGGAAUACCAGUGGCGAAGGCGGCCCCCUGGACAAAGACUGACGCUCAGAUGCGAAAGCU
rnacentral:rRNA from 1 species